UACGUAGGGGGCAAGCGUUGUCCGGAUUUAUUGGGCGUAAAGAGCGUGUAGGCGGCCAUACAGGUCAGCUGUGAAAACUCGAGGCUCAACCUCGAGACGUCGGUUGAAACCGUAUGGCUAGAGUCCGGAAGAGGAGAGUGGAAUUCCCGGUGUAGCGGUGAAAUGCGCAGAUAUCGGGAAGAACACCCGUGGCGAAGGCGGCUCU
rnacentral:rRNA from 1 species